GACGAACGCUGGCGGCGUGCUUAACACAUGCAAGUCGAGCGGAGCGGCGAACGGGUGAGUAACGCGUGAGUAACUGCCCCCCUCCCUGGGGUAACAGAUGGCAACGGCUAAUAAUACCGGAUAGUGUGGGAUGAGUCGCGGCCAAUCAGCUUGUUGGUGGGGUAGUGGGCUACCAAGCCGACGACGGGUAGCCGGCCUGAGAGGGCGACCGGCCACAUUGCGCUACGAUACGGCCCAAACUCCUACGGUAGGCAGCGGUGGGGAAUAUGGCGCAAUGGGGGAAACCCAGUGACAGCAACGCCGCGGGCGGGAUGUCGGCUUUUGAGUUGUGAACCGCUUUCAGCCAUGAGGCGGUAGUGGCAGAAGAAGCACCGGCUAACUACGUGCCAGCAGCCGCGGUAAUAC
rnacentral:rRNA from 1 species